GGUGUUUUGGCCGAGCGGUCUAAGGCGCUAGCUUAAGGUUCUCUGUAACCCGCUAGUCCGAAAGGGCGUGAGUUCGAAUCUCACAGACAUCA
rfam:Rhodotorula sp. JG-1b unplaced genomic scaffold RHOSPscaffold_17, whole genome shotgun sequence.